CAAGAAAUAGUUUAAUUAAAAUACUGGUUUUGGGGACUAGUGAUGGGGGAUUUUCCUUCUUUUUUGA
rnacentral:tRNA from 1 species